UACGGGGGGAGCAAGCGUUGUUCGGAUUUACUGGGCGUAAAGGGCGCGUAGGCGGUCAGCACAAGUCAGUUGUGAAAUCUCCGGGCUUAACUCGGAAAGGUCAACUGAUACUGUGCGACUAGAGUGCAGAAGGGGCAACUGGAAUUCUCGGUGUAGCGGUGAAAUGCGUAGAUAUCGAGAGGAACACCUGCGACGAAGGCGGGUUGCUGGGCUGACACUGACGCUGAGGCGCGAAAGCCAGGGGAGCAAACGGG
rnacentral:rRNA from 1 species